rnacentral:rRNA from 1 species
UACGGAGGGGGCUAGCGUUGUUCGGAAUUACUGGGCGUAAAGCGCACGUAGGCGGCUUUGUAAGUUAGAGGUGAAAGCCCGGGGCUCAACUCCGGAACUGCCUUUAAGACUGCAUCGCUAGAACGUCGGAGAGGUAAGUGGAAUUCCGAGUGUAGAGGUGAAAUUCGUAGAUAUUCGGAAGAACACCAGUGGCGAAGGCGACUUACUGGACGACUGUUGACGCUGAGGUGCGAAAGCGUGGGGAGCAAACAGG